GCCUGGGUGGCUCAGUCAGUUAAGCAUCUGACUUCGGCUCAGGUCAUGAUCUCACAGUUUGUGAGUUCGAGCCUCACCUCGGGCU
rnacentral:tRNA from 1 species